GGCUGGUCUGAAGGUAGUGAGUUAUCUCAUUUGAUUGCUCAUGCACAGUUACAGAUCAAAUACUUUGUUCUACUCUUCCCCCCUUCUCACUACUACACUUGACUAGUCUUAA
ensembl:misc_RNA Y_RNA Y RNA